UUUCCUGGCUCAUCCUGGCUCAAAAAGCACCCCCACUGAGCACCUUGCGACCCCCACUCCUGCCUGCCAGAGAACAACCCCCCUUUGACUGGAUGUGCAUGAAAUUUGGUGCCAUGACUCGGAUCGGGGGACCUCCCUUGGGAGAUCAAUCCCCUGUCCUCCUGUUCUUUGCUCCAUGAGAAAGAUCCACCUACAACCUCAGGUCCUCAGACUGACCAGCCCAAGGAACAUCUCACCAAUUUUAAAUCAGGUAUACGCCAGAUGGCCUGAAGUAACUGAAGAAUCACAAAAGAAGUGAAUAUGCCCUGCCCCACCUUAACUGAUGACAUUCCACCACAAAAGAAGUGUGAAUGGCC